rnacentral:rRNA from 1 species
GUCAAUGGACGAGAGUCUGAACCAGCCAAGUAGCGUGAAGGAUGACUGCCCUAUGGGUUGUAAACUUCUUUUAUAUGGGAAUAAAACGUUCCACGUGUGGGAUUUUGUAUGUACCAUAUGAAUAAGGAUCGGCUAACUCCGUGCCAGCAGCCGCGGUAAUACGGAGGAUCCGAGCGUUAUCCGGAUUUAUUGGGUUUAAAGGGAGCGUAGGUGGAUUGUUAAGUCAGUUGUGAAAGUUUGCGGCUCAACCGUAAAAUUGCAGUUGAAACUGGCAGUCUUGAGUACAGUAGAGGUGGGCGGAAUUCGUGGUGUAGCGGUGAAAUGCUUAGAUAUCACGAAGAACUCCGAUUGCGAAGGCAGCUCACUGGACUGCAACUGACACUGAGGCUCGAAAGUGUGGGUAUCAAACAGGAUUAGAUACCCUGGUAGUCCACACAGUAAACGAUGAAUACUCGCUGUUUGCGAUAUACAGCAA